rnacentral:rRNA from 1 species
CCCUUAGAUGUUCUGGGCCGCACGCGUGCUACAAUGGCAGACUCAGCGAGUUACCUCUGUCGAAAGGCACAGGGAAUCUUUACAGUAUCUGCCGUGAUGGGGAUAGACCCUUGUAAUUUUUGGUCUUCAACGAGGAAUUCCUAGUAAACGCAAGUCAUUAACUUGCAUUGAUUACGUCCCUGCCCUUUGUACACACCGCCCGUCGCACCUACCGAUUGAAUGGUCCGGUGAAGUCCUCGGACCCAGUUGAACCUCGAGUUGAACAGGGAAAGUUGACUAAAUCUUACCAUUUAGAGGAAGGUGAAGUCGUAACA